rnacentral:rRNA from 1 species
UACGUAGGUGGCAAGCGUUGUCCGGAUUUACUGGGCGUAAAGGAUGCGUAGGUGGAUAUUUAAGUGGGAUGUGAAAUACCCGGGCUCAACUUGGGUGCUGCAUUCCAAACUGGAUAUCUAGAGUGCAGGAGAGGUAAGUGGAAUUCCUAGUGUAGCGGUGAAAUGCGUAGAGAUUAGGAAGAGCACCAGUGGCGAAGGCGACUUACUGGACUGUAACUGACACUGAGGCAUGAAAGCGUGGGGAGCAAACAGG